rnacentral:rRNA from 1 species
UUAAGCGACUAAGCGUACACGGUGGAUGCCCUGGCAGUCAGAGGCGAUGAAGGACGUGCUAAUCUGCGAUAAGCGUCGGUAAGGUGAUAUGAACCGUUAUAACCGGCGAUUUCCGAAUGGGGAAACCCAGUGUGAUUCGUCACACUAUCAUUAACUGAAUCCAUAGGUUAAUGAGGCGAACCGGGGGAACUGAAACAUCUAAGUACCCCGAGGAAAAGAAAUCAACCGAGAUUCCCCCAGUAGCGGCGAGCGAACGGGGAGGAGCCCAGAGCCUGAAUCAGUGUGUGUGUUAGUGGAAGCGUCUGGAAAGGCGCGCGAUACAGGGUGACAGCCCCGUACACAAAAAUGCACAUGCUGUGAGCUCGAUGAGUAGGGCGGGACACGUGGUAUCCUGUCUGAAUAUGGGGGGACCAUCCUCCAAGGCUAAAUACUCCUGACUGACCGAUAGUGAACCAGUACCGUGAGGGAAAGGCGAAAAGAACCCCGGCGAGGGGAGUGAAAAAGAACCUGAAACCGUGUACGUACAAGCAGUGGGAGCACGCUUCGGCGUGUGACUGCGUACCUUUUGUAUAAUGGGUCAGCGACUUAUAUUCUGUAGCAAGGUUAACCGAAUAGGGGAGCCGAAGGGAAACCGAGUCUUAACUGGGCGUUAAGUUGCAGGGUAUAGACCCGAAACCCGGUGAUCUAGCCAUGGGCAGGUUGAAGGUUGGGUAACACUAACUGGAGGACCGAACCGACUAAUGUUGAAAAAUUAGCGGAUGACUUGUGGCUGGGGGUGAAAGGCCAAUCAAACCGGGAGAUAGCUGGUUCUCCCCGAAAGCUAUUUAGGUAGCGCCUCGUGAAUUCAUCUCCGGGGGUAGAGCACUGUUUCGGCAAGGGGGUCAUCCCGACUUACCAACCCGAUGCAAACUGCGAAUACCGGAGAAUGUUAUCACGGGAGACACACGGCGGGUGCUAACGUCCGUCGUGAAGAGGGAAACAACCCAGACCGCCAGCUAAGGUCCCAAAGUCAUGGUUAAGUGGGAAACGAUGUGGGAAGGCCCAGACAGCCAGGAUGUUGGCUUAGAAGCAGCCAUCAUUUAAAGAAAGCGUAAUAGCUCACUGGUCGAGUCGGCCUGCGCGGAAGAUGUAACGGGGCUAAACCAUGCACCGAAGCUGCGGCAGCGACACUAUGUGUUGUUGGGUAGGGGAGCGUUCUGUAAGCCUGUGAAGGUGUACUGUGAGGUAUGCUGGAGGUAUCAGAAGUGCGAAUGCUGACAUAAGUAACGAUAAAGCGGGUGAAAAGCCCGCUCGCCGGAAGACCAAGGGUUCCUGUCCAACGUUAAUCGGGGCAGGGUGAGUCGACCCCUAAGGCGAGGCCGAAAGGCGUAGUCGAUGGGAAACAGGUUAAUAUUCCUGUACUUGGUGUUACUGCGAAGGGGGGACGGAGAAGGCUAUGUUGGCCGGGCGACGGUUGUCCCGGUUUAAGCGUGUAGGCUGGUUUUCCAGGCAAAUCCGGAAAAUCAAGGCUGAGGCGUGAUGACGAGGCACUACGGUGCUGAAGCAACAAAUGCCCUGCUUCCAGGAAAAGCCUCUAAGCAUCAGGUAACAUCAAAUCGUACCCCAAACCGACACAGGUGGUCAGGUAGAGAAUACCAAGGCGCUUGAGAGAACUCGGGUGAAGGAACUAGGCAAAAUGGUGCCGUAACUUCGGGAGAAGGCACGCUGAUAUGUAGGUGAAGCGACUUGCUCGUGGAGCUGAAAUCAGUCGAAGAUACCAGCUGGCUGCAACUGUUUAUUAAAAACACAGCACUGUGCAAACACGAAAGUGGACGUAUACGGUGUGACGCCUGCCCGGUGCCGGAAGGUUAAUUGAUGGGGUUAGCGGUAACGCGAAGCUCUUGAUCGGUCCUAAGGUAGCGAAAUUCCUUGUCGGGUAAGUUCCGACCUGCACGAAUGGCGUA